rnacentral:rRNA from 1 species
UUAAAAAGAAAAUUGUUAAUUCAAUUUAAUUUGAAAUUUAUUAAUUAUUAAUUUUGAUGUUAUUAUUUAUAUUAUUAUAUAAAUUUUUAAGUUUUUUAUUUAUUAAGAAAAAAUUAAUUUAAUAAUAGUUUAUAGUAUUGUAAAAGAAUUUAUUUAAUUAUUAUAAAGAAAUUUUUAAUUUUUGUACCUUGUGUAUCAGGGUUUAUUAAAUUAGUUUAUAGAUUUUAGUUUUUUCGAAUUUAAAAGAGCUAAAAAAUUAAUUUAUUUUAUUGUAUCAUAAUUAAGUAAAAUAAUUUUUUUGUAAUGAAAUGUUAUUCGUUUUUAAAUAUAUCUAAUUUUUUAAGAAAUAAAUAAAAUUUAUUUAAUAAUAAUAUUUAAUUUUAUUUAUAAAAAAUAUUAUUAUUAAAAAAUAUUUUUAGGGAUUAGCUUAAAAAUUUAUUUUUAUUAUUAAAUAAAUUUAUAAAAUAUUUUAGGAUUAAAAUUUUUUAUAAUAUAAAUAUGUUAUUAUUUAUUUUUAUUGAAUUAAAAUUUAUUUUUAAUAUAAAUUUUUUAUUAAAAUUUAAUUUAUAAUUAAAAUUAAUUAGUAAUAAUGAUAAAAUUAGUAUAGUUUAAUUUAUAUUUUAUAUAAGUUUAAGGUUAGUUAAAGGAACUCGGCAAAUUAAUUUUUCAACUGUUUAUUAAAAACAUUGCCUUUUGUUUUAUAUUUAAGGUAUAACCUGCCCUAUGUGAAAUAAAUGGCUGCAGUAUUUUGACUGUACUAAGGUAGCAUAAUAAUUAGUUUUUUAAUUGAAAGCUGGAAUGAAUGGUAUAAUGGAAAAAUUUCUGUCUCUAAUUAAUUUUAUUAAAAUUUUAUAUUUAAGUUAAAAAGCUUAAAUAUUUUUAAAAGACGAGAAGACCCUAUAGAAUUUUAUAUUAUUUUUAUUAUUAUUUUUUAGAAUUUAUAUUAUUAAUAAUUUAUAGUAUUGGGUUGGGGUGACUAAAAAAUUGAAAUAACUUUUUUUAUAUUUUUAUAUAAAUUUAUAAAUUUAUGAUCCAUAAAUUAUGAUUAAAAGAAUAAAUUACCUUAGGGAUAACAGCGUAAUUUUAUUGGAGAGUUCUUAUCGAUAAUAAAGUUUGCGACCUCGAUGUUGGAUUAAAAUUUAUUUUUAAUGCAGAAGUUAAAAAAUUAAGUCUGUUCGACUUUUAAAAUUUUACAUGAUCUGAGUUUAGACCGGUGUGAGCCAGGUCGGUUUCUAUCUUUAAAUAAAAUUAAUAAUUUAGUACGAAAGGACCAAUUAUU